rnacentral:rRNA from 1 species
GAUGAACGCUGGCGGCGUGCCUAAUACAUGCAAGUCGAGCGAACAGAUGAGGAGCUUGCUCCUCUGACGUUAGCGGCGGACGGGUGAGUAACACGUGGAUAACCUACUUAUAAGACUGGGAUAACUUCGGGAAACCGGAGCUAAUACCGGAUAAUAUAUUGAACCGCAUGGUUCAAUAGUGAAUGACGGUUUUGCUGUCACUUAUAGAUGGAUCCGCGCCGCAUUAGCUAGUUGGUAAGGUAACGGCUUACCAAGGCAACGAUGCGUAGCCGACCUGAGAGGGUGAUCGGCCACACUGGAACUGAGACACGGUCCAGACUCCUACGGGAGGCAGCAGUAGGGAAUCUUCCGCAAUGGGCGAAAGCCUGACGGAGCAACGCCGCGUGAGUGAUGAAGGUCUUCGGAUCGUAAAACUCUGUUAUUAGGGAAGAACAAAUGUGUAAGUAACUAUGCACGUCUUGACGGUACCUAAUCAGAAAGCCACGGCUAACUACGUG